UCAUUUAUAUCAUCACUUCAGAUCAAAGUAUGGUUCAUUUAAAAUAUUAUUAGGAGACGAUUUUAGCGGACUGAAACCCUCUUAUUUAUUUUUCGAGGUUUAUUGUAAAUUUUAAGUUACGUUUGAAUAUAUCUACUUGAUGUUUUUUUCUCAAGUUUUAUGUGAAAAAAAUUCAACCAAAUUUGUGAGCAUUGUCUAAAAUAAGCUAUUGAAAUUGUGAGCAUGCUCGACUAACUGCGGAUAGGGUAUUUAUAGACCUCUUCAUCUAUUGUUGUGGAAUUUGCCUUUGCUCAAUCGACAUAUUGUGAAGCUUCUAAAGUAGGUCUUGCACCUACUCAGUAUGCUCCACCAACAGGCUCCAGGCCAUUUAUGGACCUCUUCAUUGCUGUUUGAGGGGUUACCCUCAGUUCUCGAUCUUCUCUACCUUUUGAGGUUUGCUGAGUACCUAAUUAGAGAUGAAGCAAGUGUAAUGAAGCAAACAAAGACAUGCAAGACUCAGUGUCAAGAAUGUUUUCAAAGGUAUUAGAGAUGAAGCAGGUGAAGAUUGAAAACUACCUCAAUAAGAUCAACAACUUGGUCUUUCCAAAGUCGUGAGUUUCAACUUUCAAGUUAUCUUUUUGUAAAAGUGACUUAUGUCACCAAUUGUAACUAAAGUUAGGAUUUGGACUUCAUUUAUGUAAAAGUUAGGUAAAUCCUAACUUGUCCCUUAAAAAGGUAGUUAUUAGAAGUGGGUACCUAAGGUAGUUAUCCUAAGUGGAUACGUAAGCUGGUUAUCCUAAUUGGUUGCCUAAAGUGGUUUUUCUAAGUGGUUACAAAGUAGUUAUCCUCUAAAGCCUAUAAAUACAUGGCUAUUCCAUUUGUAAAGGGAGACUUUUAUAGGAGGGGAAACUCUAGAGAAAUUCCUAGAGAGACAUUUUGAUGAUUUUUGGUGUUUACACUUUGUACCUAAGAGCUUUUGAACUUGUAUAUUUUCAAAAGGAUAAUAAAGAAUGCAUUUGAUUCA